ACCAGUUUGAAAAUACUACACAUCAUGAUAUUUUAAUUUGAAAUCAUAAAAUUCAAAAACUUAGUAUCCAGUUAAACUAAGAUACUUUGUUACUAUAAUGAACAUAAAUAUAUAGAGAAUUGAAUGUAUCAAUUUUAAAUCUUGAAUCCAAAUAACUCUAACAAAGUACCUGCAUGGUAAGCCAAGUUUCCACCAGAACUUGAUCCAAAAAGAUAAACAUUACUCAAAUCAGCAUAAUUUUGAAUCCAUUCAUCUUGAGUUGAUUUAAUCCAAUUUAACCCAUCUAUGGCAUCAUCGUAAGCUGCAGGAAGUCGAUUUUCAGGGGCCAAACGAUAUUCAAGGGCAAUAAUCAUCGCGUCAAGUUUCUCAGAAAGUUGUUGACAAAAUAGAUCCGAACCAUAACUAUUAACAUGAUAGAAGACAAAGCCUCCGCCAUGAUAGUAGAAAAUAACUGGCAAUUUAUCAUCGUCAUGAUUUACAAUUAUUCGUCGUGGUACGUAGAUUCUCAUCCAUGUUUUUUUAUUGCUGUCUAGGUCUACAUCCUUAGAUAUGACUAAAGAAGUACCAUUGGGAUCAAAAUUGGCUUGUGUGAGGGGUUCAGGUUGACGUUUAAUUGUAUCAUUUGGUAAUUCUUCAAUGUUCAAAAAUGGAUUGUCAAAAAUUGGACGAACAAAUUUUUGGCUAGACAUAAUAAUUAUUGAUCACACAAAUAUGUAUUAUAGGAACUUAGCUAUAUAUUAGGGGUUAUUAUGAUAAUCUAUAUAUAGACUUAUAUAUAAGAAGAAGAAGAAUAUUACUGACAAGUGACAACUAGGAAUUAUUAUAUUGGAAAUUGCAAUAAUUAUGUGUAAUAUAUAUAUAUAUAUAUAUAUAUAUAUAUAUAUAUAUAUAUAUAUUGCUUUAAACAUAAACAGAAAAAAGCAAUACAGAAAAUACUGUCAAUGCAACAAAUCAAUGGUUACAAACUUAGCAUUUAAUAAAGGGAUAAUAAAUAAUUACCUCUCAACCUAUGCCCGAAAUAUAAGAGAGACACUUAUACUAUACUAAGGUCCUAUUAUCCCUCUGAACUUAUUUUAUUAAUAAUUUUCUACCACUUUUCGGACUACGUGGCACUAUCUUGUGGACCCAACGCUGAUUGACUUUUUUUUUCUCAAGCUAGUUCCAUAAUGGGAGGACAACAAUAAUUUUGGAGUUCACAAUAAAAUAAAACUUUCCAAAUCGAAUAUCGAUGUAUUUCAAAAAUAAUACUCCCUCCGUUUCAUAAAGAAUGAUCUGAUUUGACUUGGCACGGAGUUUAAAUAAAUAAAGAAGACUUUUGAAUUUUAUGGUCCUAAAUUAAAGUUAUGUCUAAUAUACAAAAUUGUCCUUUUGACCUUGUGGCCUUAAACAAAAUAAUUAAAAAUACAUAUAUUUAUUGAAAAAAAUAUUAAGAAUAAAGUUUUAGUAAUAGAUUUUGAUGUUCACUUUCCGAGAGUAAAAUACACUCACAUUGUCAACUAAGUGUUUAGAGAGAUAAUUAUUACAGUUAUUAAAAAUUGAGGUGGGUGAUACGACUUCGGUAAAGCUAAAGUGUAUGUAUAGCUAAAAAUCUAAAUACAGAUUAGGAGGACUUUUGACCAAUUUCUCCUAAAUUUAUAAUAAAUAGUAUAUAUAAUGUCUCUUCCAAUUAAGUAUUUGUCGUGCCAAUUAACUCAGACAUUAAACUCUAAACAAUUUAAUAUAUUACAAAUAACAGCAACAACUAAUGUAAUAAGAACUCUAAAUUGUCAAAGAACACAUAUGUUGAAAAGGAAGUUAUUUCAUAGUAUAUAUAGAAAAUACAUGAACCCUUGCUUUCAUAAUAUUGCAAUUAUUCAAGGAGCAUUUGUAUAUGAGAAGGUUUAAUUCGAAAUUGAGGAAUAAUAUCAGUAAUUAUAUUGAAUCUGCAAAAGUUAUUGGAUCACAAAAUAAUACUUUAGGAAUUUUACUUGAUUCGAUUUAGUGUCUGACUUGUAAUGAUAAAAAAAAAAGAAUAACUUUCAUGCAAACAUGUCUAAAUUCAGAUAUAUAUUCUUUUUUGUUUUAAGCUAAGUAAUAUCUAUAAAAAUAUAUCUACAUGUGCAUGCAAAUUAAUAAAUUCAAGUGUAAUUAUAACUAUUAAUCCUAAAUUAACCAUAAUUUCAAAAGCUUCAAAAUUUAAAUCGUGAUUAGAAUAUGUUAAACAAUCCAAAUAUGAUAUAAAUUAAAUAUAAUAUAUACAUAUUAAUUUCUUGCAUAGAUGUUGCAUUAAAUAUGAGUUUGAUUGGUUAGAAGAAGGGCAUAAAAAUAUUGAUUUUAGUAUAAUUUUUAUAUCUAUAGUUAAGUUAUAUAUCUUGCAUUAUUAUAAAAUAUCUUUUCUGAAUUAUGUUUAAAAUUUAAAAGUAUUUAAUUUUUUUUAAAAUAAUAAUUUGGAGCAUCAAAAUCUUUUUAUUCAUUAAUAAAGUAUGUACAAGCAUGGGCCAAUCCAAAACAAGGAUUAGCCCAAAAAAGAAAUAGCCCAAUCCAUUAAAAUGAUCCUUUAGGUAUUUAUAAAGAAACCCUAAAAAAUAAGGGUUCAUAAAUUUGUGCUCCUCAUCCUUGUCCUUCAUAUUACUGCAAAUGCUUGGAGCUUUGUGGAAUUCCACCUUCCUCCACCAUUUGUUGUGGGUCCUUAACCCCUUUUUCUUGUUCUUUCUAAUAUCAUUCUUGCUUAGCUUGUAGAGGUAUGUUUUUGUAUUUUGUUCUUCAUUUCUUUCCCGCAAUUUUCGACUUCCUCUAUUUCAAUAAUGGAGACUUAAUCUGGUGGUCUAGUGGUUUCCUAAGAUAGAUCUUAUAAAGGAACCAAGUCCGUGGUCUGGCUUUCAAUUCCUUGUAAGUAGCUAAUGUUAUCUCAUUUCUUCUUUCCAUGUUUGUUGUCAUUCCUAAUCACAUUUCUAGAUCUGAGCAGGGCCAGGCGAGUGUCAUUUUUUCAAAAAAAUAAAAUAAAAAAGCCUUGAUGUCUUUAUCGUCUAAUUCUAACCAAUAAACUUCUUUUUGUCAGGAGAGAGAUAUUUUGGUUGGAUGCAUUUUCUAUGUGGAAUCCAGAAAAGAGUUGGUUGUUGAUUCUUCAGGUUUUUCCUUUCUGAUGACAUUCUAUAAAGUGACUCAUUUUUUUAUAACUAAAGAAGUAACAGUGAGUUUUGAAUAAUUGAAAAGAAAUCUUCAGUUGUGUAUGAAUAUUUAGCCAAAUUGCUUUCUUGUUUCAAAUCUUCUGAAACUCCCCCAUUUUCAUGAUAUAUACUACUUUUAAUAUCAUGUAAUAAUGAAAUUGUGUUCCUCUAUGUUUUCAUUCUGCUUCAUUUCUCUAGGUUGUAUUCUCAAAUUAGGUAUUAUCGGCUUUUCUAAGUUAAUAGUGUUUCUUUCGUUGCUUGGAAGUUUACGAAAGGUGGAAAAAAUCAUUGUUGUCCAACCCUUUCAAAGGCUACAGUAGUAAUUUAAUUUGCUAAUGAAUUUCCUUUCUGGAAACAUGUUGAAGUCUCACUUGACAUAACUAAGCUAGAUACUGAAUGUGUCCUAUUAUUGUUGAAAUCUGCCACAGAAUCUCCCAAAUUUAAAAAAGAACUCGAAUAAUGUCUAAAGAAUCAAUCUUAAAAAUCAUCUUAUUGAGGCUCGUAGAAACACAAUGAUAAAUGAUCUUUUUGAUUGCAAUUUCCUCUUCCUCAAUAUCUGUUUUCUCAUGAAUUUCCUGUCUUUGAGCAUAUAUAAGAUCUCCUCUAUGAUUACUUGAAAAAUAACCAUAGGAACUCUUGUUCGGAUUGUCUUACAUUUAAACACUUGACAUCAUGUGGUUUUCAUGGCUAGUUGGUAGGUACUCAAUUCAUAGGAUAAGUGAUUUUUACUAGUCUUUAGAUACAUGGGUUCACCUUAAACAAGACUAUUGUAUGACGAUUUUUCCCAUUCUUAAGAUUAUUUAUCAUUUUUUAUAAAUAUCACACGAACCGGGAUGGAUAGUGUGGCCACGGUUGACAACGAUAACUCCCUUUUUAGCAUUGAUACAUGUUUUUCUCUUGAUGCAGCACAAGCCUGGUAGCAUGAUCGCGCCGCAUGUGACUUGUUGUAGAACUCUCACAAUUUUCUUAAUAUUUUGUAUGUUCAUUUGACUAUUGAAUCUCAGACUCAGUCUUGAUAACAUUCUUCAUUCCUCUGUUCCGACUUUAAAACUCCAUAACACUUCAAAUUUUCUUUCAAACAUGCUUAUUAGCUGUAAAAAAAUUGUGCAAACAAGUACACUCAUAAGCAUAUAAUGAUUAUAAUAAUGAUUAAAUGAUGGUAUAAAAACACAUAUAAAGACUUUAUAACAACUAAAUGUAUGUAUUUUAUACUGAAUAUCAGUUAUCAUCAAUGUCAUCGUGAUUCAUUUAUUUUAAGUUUUAAGUCUUAUUUUUUUUUAAUUUGUUUGAAAAUAAUUUCAUGUUCGAUAUUAGUAUAAUCUUCAUGAUUUAUUAUUUUUUCAUUAUAUAUACUUACCAUAUAUGUCAUGGUGAAGAUUACUAGAGGAGUUUCAUCCUAUAAGAAACUUUGACUCCUCUUUGGACUUUACUUUUACUCUUAUUUUGCUUCUUCAUUUAAGUUGUUUCUUUUUUUACACUUUUAUUUAUAAAUUUAUUAGUUUUUUCUUUGCUGCAAUCUCUCAUAUCUAUACAGGUUGUCUGCAUUCAUGUGUGCGGAUUUGAUUAACCUAAUUGAUUAUAUAUAAGAUGAACCACGUUAAGUUUAUUAAUCAUCUAUAUGUUCACCUAUUUCCAAACAAUUUCUCCCUUUUUGAUGAUAAUAAACAAUGCAACAUAGUUUACUUUGUAAAACAUCAAAAUACUUUGUCAAUCAUCAAAACUACAUACUAUUGUUACAUUUUUUAUAGGACUAAACUGUUAAAGUCGCCUUUGAUAGGAAAAGCUUCAUACCAAAGUGACACUUUUCUAUAUGAGUCUUGGUUAAUCAGCCCCAAUCAUUUUCAUCACAUUCAUAUUCACAUCUAUUUAAAGAGGAAAUGGUUGCAAAUUCAAAAAAUUAUCCUACUUUGCUGGACCCCAAAACUUAAAACAUGUUCAACUAGACAUACUUGCAUACUAUUAUUUAUUAUUAUCAUUUCAUGUUUUACUUUUCUCUUUCUUUUACGUAAAAUAGUAGCAGUUGAGUGGUGGAUUCAAUCACUUGGAGAGCUUCAUUGUUGAUCAAUAUCCCACCAUACUACUCUCUCUGCCUAUAGGAUUGCACAAGCUAAGCUAGAAAAAGAGUGGUGCACAGGUUAUUGUGAAACACAAAGAAUAAAGUUUUCCAAGGAAUCGAAUCAACCACUCAACUAUUACUGUCUCAUGCAAAAGAGAGAGAAGAGAGUGUGUAGUAAAAUUAUGAAAUUAUGAUAAUGUUUAUUAGUACAUAAGUUUGUCUAGUUGAACAAGCUUUUAGUUGUGGGUCUAACAAAGUAGAAUCAAUUUUUAAAACUUUGCCACCACAUCCUUUUUAAUAGAAGUUAAGUUGAAUUUGAUAAAAAUGAUUGGGGUUGAUUAAUCACAUGCAUGGUUUUCAUAAAUUCUAUUCUUGUCUUAUUGAAUAUUUCACAUUCAAUAAAUUUCAAAGUCUAAAUUUCUCACCAACAUCCAUGCGAAGGAUCAGAAAAUAAUAUCAUACAUAUGUAUGCUUUGCAACUAAUUUUUGGGUGAUGAUAUUAUGUCUUUAAACUUACAAAUUUAGUAGAUAUUAGAACUAACUCAAUCCUAAAAACUUUUAUUCAUGAGAAAAAUAUAACAACUUAAAGUAAUCUUACACACAAAGGAAUGCAUACUAUACACUCCUCUCUUAUUUGCACAAAAGGAAAUAUAACAAAACAAACUCAAUACUUUUAAUUUUUAGUAGCAGAUAUGAGAUCCCUAAUGGCAUCAAAUAAGACUGCAGCCUUAGAUGGCUCAAACAACUCAAUAACAUGGUAACCAUCUCCAAAGAGCUUGAAAGUUUUUACACCUUUCUUUUCAAUAAAAUCAGCAAAGUUGCGCGAGGCAUCGAUUAAAGGAUCUUCAGAGACACCGGUGACAAGGAUCCCCCAGCCUCGUGUGAUCAUAUCAUCUAAAUGCUUUGACCCUCCGUUAAGUAAUGGGUUGGAAUAUUCAUGAUCAUGAUCUAGUGUUCCUUUUGGUAAGGACAAGUCAAACAUCUUAUCAAUUGCUUGAAAUGGCAAAGUUGGAUCAUCUUUUAGCUUCUCUUCAGAUUCUGUCCUAUUUUUUCCACUGAAAUAUGGUUGAUGCAAGAUAAGCCCUUUGAUCUUUACUGGUUCUAGUUCUUUGUCUGAAAAAGAUGCUACGCGUAGCCCUGUAGGUAAAGGUGACAAAAUUAGCCCAUAAAAAUUAUAAUUAGUUCAAUACAUAUAAAUUUAGACGAUUAAUAAAAGGGAUGUACUCUAAUCAAAGCUAGCUAAUCUCCUUAUUAUUCCCUCCUUACCUAAUAUAUAGUUUGAUUAAGCACAUAGUUACAGAAACUUAAAAGGAAUACUUUACAAUGUUACCAAACUAACCUUAAAAAGAGUACACCUAAUGUAGACUUCUUGCCAAAUAACUGGGACUCGACAAGCAUAAACUAUUUGACAAUAUUGUUAAAUAUUUGUCAACAAAGAAAAUGUGAUAUAACUCUUUUUUACUGAUUAAAAAGAAAACUAAAUCAUAUAAAUUGAAAGAAAGGAAGUAAAUGAUACCGUUAUCCCAAACCUUUUUUGUCGUAAAUUUACGACACCAGUUUAAAAAUACUACACAUCAUGAUAUUUUAAUUUGAAAUCAUAAAAUUCAAAAACUUAGUAUCCAGUUAAACUAAGAUACUUUGUUACUAUAAUGAACAUAAAUAUAUAGAGAAUUGAAUGUAUCAAUUUUAAAUCUUGAAUCCAAAUAACUCUAACAAAGUACCUGCAUGGUAAGCCAAGUUUCCACCAGAACUUGAUCCAAAAAGAUAAACAUUACUCAAAUUAGCAUAAUUUUGAAUCCAUUCAUCUUGAGUUGAUUUAAUCCAAUUUAACCCAUCUAUGGCAUCAUCGUAAGCUGCAGGAAGUCGAUUUUCAGGGGCCAAACGAUAUUCAAGGGCAAUAAUCAUCGCGUCAAGUUUCUCAGAUAGUUGUUGACAAAAUAGAUCCGAACCAUAACUAUUAACAUGAAAGAAGACAAAGCCUCCGCCAUGAUAGUAGAAAAUAACUGGCAAUUUAUCAUCGUCAUGAUUUGCAAUUAUUCGUCGUGGUACGUAGAUUCUCAUCCAUGUUUUUUUAUUGCUGUCUAGGUCUACAUCCUUAGAUAUGACUAAAGAAGUACCAUUGGGAUCAAAAUUGGCUUGUGUGAGGGGUUCAGGUUGACGUUUAAUUGUAUCAUUUGGUAAUUCUUCAAUGUUCAAAAAUGGAUUGUCAAAAAUUGGACGAACAAAUUUUUGGCUAGACAUAAUUAUUGAUCACAAAAAUAUGUAUUAUAGGAAGUUAGCUAUAUAUUAGGGGUU
rnacentral:lncRNA from 1 species